rnacentral:lncRNA from 1 species
UUGAAGUUUCGGAAAUUAAAAUAUUUUUAUUAAAAUUAUGGAUGGGACCCACUUUUGUUUUUGUCAAAACAUGUGCUGAGAUUUUUCAAGAAUGACAUGCCUUGAUAGUCAUGGUCUUGGCAUGCGUAAGGAAAAAAUAAAAUAAAAUAUUAUUUUAUUAUUUUAGUCUCCUAUGGCGUUCUAGCAUUUUCCUAUAAAUAGGCGCUUAAGUUAGAAUUGAAAAUCACACCAGAAUCAGAGAAUUCUAGCUUCUUCUAUAAUCUUGAGCGUAUUUCUUUCGAAUUUUAGAAAGCUUUGAGCGUAGAAAAUAGUAAAAUCUUUCUUCAAGAAUAUCCCCGUUAUACCAGUUGGAAUACAUUUCUUUUCAAGGUAAGGAAUGUUAUUUUUGUUCAAUAUUCUCUUGAAAUAAUAUUUUCUUCCAUACUCUGUAGUAUGUAAGUAAUAUUAUUUCAUUUCAGAUUUCAAAUUCUAUACUCGUUUGUUAAAAUUUUGGCUUCUAUACUCCAUGAAAUUAGUAGAAUAUCCUUGAUAUUUGCGCUUCAUCCAGUAUCUUUUCAUGAAAAUAUUAUUUUGAGCAUUCUUGAUAAGUUUUAACUUUUUCAUACUGGAGUACUAUUCACGGGAUUACUAUUUCCAAAGUACUAUUCAAGGGAUACUAUUCACUCGAGUACUAUUCACCCGGGGUACUAUUCAUGAUAAAAAUUGAUUCGUUUUCGGUCCAAAUUAUUUUUGGUACAAUAUUAUUCUUGAAAUUUACUCCACAAAACAGUAUCAUGUUGACAAUUUAGACGUUAUUGAUUUCUGGAUAAAUUAAAUUAUAAAUCUUUAAAAAUUUAUCCUUGAACUUGUUUUAUUGAAUUCUUAUAUCAUUGUCAUCAUCCUCAUAUUUAUAUUAUGUUGAAAGUCAUCUGUGGCAUGUAGUGCAUAGAUGGACUUGGUAUGAUUAUGACCAGGGAUUAUUCGGUAUAAUCAUGACCGUAAUGUUGCAAAUGAUGCGGUAAAAGUCUUCAUUGGCCCGUAGUGCAUUGAUGGACAUUUGUUGGCAUGAUCAUGACCAUUGAUGAAUACACGAAUAUCCUUGGCCCGUAGUGCAGUGAUAAUUUGUGGUUGUUAUAUUUUAUCAGUUUAACACUGUUGAAGGCUAACGAUAAAUUAUUCUGCAUUAUGUUAGUAAUAAUAUUUCUUACUGGACUAGUUGAGCUCACCCUUUUGCUUUCAUUGUCCUCUUCAGAAAAUGAGAACGUAGCUGGGACUAGUCGGUGAACGGAGUGACGGUCCAGAUGAUAGCAUUAGUAGUUCUCACUAUUCUAUGAAAUAAUGUGAUAAUAAUUGUAUUGAGGACUCCAUUUGAGUUGAAUACUGUCUAGAAGACAAUAUUCGUAUUAAAACUCUCAGUUUAUGUUUUGUCGUAUUAUACACGACAGUUGCAUUAUUAAGUUGUAUUUGAAUUUUGUACCAUGUAUUUGGCGACUCAAGAUGGGUGAUGUAUACCUAUUUUGGGGGCGUCACAAGUGAGGAUUACUAAAACAGCCAUCUCGGACCAUCACUCCGUUCCCCGACUAGUUCCGGCUACGUUCUCAUUUCCUGAAGAGAACAAUGGAAGUAAAAGGGUGAGCUCAAGUAGCCCAGUAAGAAAUAUUAUG